rnacentral:rRNA from 1 species
AUUGAACGCUGGCGGCAGGCUUAAUACAUGCAAGUCGAGGGGUAGCAAGAUUGUAGCAAUACAAUUGUUGACGACCGGCAAACGGGUGCGGAACACGUACACAACCUUCCUACAAGUGGGGAAUAGCCCAGAGAAAUUUGGAUUAAUACCCCGUAACAUAGCGAUGUGGCAUCACAUUGCUAUUAUAGCUUCGGCGCUUGUUGAUGGGUGUGCGGCUGAUUAGAUAGUUGGCGGGGUAACGGCCCACCAAGUCUACGAUCAGUAGCUGAUGUGAGACCAUGAUCAGCCACACGGGCACUGAGACACGGGCCCGAGUCCUACGGGAGGCAGCAGUAAGGAAUAUUGGACAAUGGACGCAAGUCUGAUCCAGCCAUGCCGCGUGAAGGAUUAAGGUCCUCUGGAUUGUAAACUUCUUUUAUAAGGGACGAAAAAAGGUCUUUCUAGAUCGUCUGACGGUACCUUAUGAAUAAGCACCGGCUAACUCCGUGCCAGCCGCCGCAGUAAUAC